AGCGAACGCUGGCGGCGUACUUAACACAUGCAAGUCGAACGGGGAUCAUCGGUGUAGCAAUACAUCGGCGGUCCUAGUGGCGCACGGGUGAGUAACACGUGGGUAACCUGUCCUUGAGUUCGGGAUACCCUCUCGAAAGGGAGGCUAAUACCGGAUACGUUCCCUGGAUUGCGAAGUCCAGGGAGGAAAGGCGGCGCAAGCUGCCGCUCUUGGAGGGGCUCGCGGCCUAUCAGCUAGUUGGUGAGGUAAUGGCUCACCAAGGCUAUGACGGGUAGCUGGUCUGAGAGGACGACCAGCCACACGGGAACUGAGACACGGUCCCGACUCCUACGGGUGGCUG
rnacentral:rRNA from 1 species